GACGAACGCUGGCGGCGUGCUUAACACAUGCAAGUCGAACGAAGAACGAUGGAAGCUUGCUUCUAUCAAUCUUAGUGGCGAACGGGUGAGUAACGCGUAAUCAACCUGCCCUUCAGAGGGGGACAACAGUUGGAAACGACUGCUAAUACCGCAUACGAUCCAAUCUCGGCAUCGAGACUGGAUGAAAGGUGGCCUCUAUUUAUAAGCUAUCACUGAAGGAGGGGAUUGCGUCUGAUUAGCUAGUUGGAGGGGUAACGGCCCACCAAGGCGAUGAUCAGUAGCCGGUCUGAGAGGAUGAACGGCCACAUUGGGACUGAGACACGGCCCAGACUCCUACGGGAGGCAGCAGUGGGGAAUCUUCCGCAAUGGACGAAAGUCUGACGGAGCAACGCCGCGUGAGUGAUGACGGCCUUCGGGUUGUAAAGCUCUGUUAAUCGGGACGAAUGGUUCUUGUGCGAAUAGUGCGAG
rnacentral:rRNA from 1 species